AGCAGCUGGUCUGGAGACUACAAAAUUAUUAUCAAUUGUGUAUAUGUUUCUUGUUUGGACAAGUGCGAAAAGGGCAUCGAUUAUGACAUUUACAACACCAGGUGGCGCCAAAAUAUCAUCCAUGUCCAUGUUGACCAUACACAACAUAAACUAUUGAUUUGGACGAGGCCCACCACUAUGAUGAGUGCCAGAGCGAGGAGUUUUCCUACAGUGAAAACAUCCUGUAUCCUUGUCGCCCAGCGCACACUGGAGCAGUUCACCCAGCUCUCUUUAUUCACAGCAGUGACCUGAACAAACUGUUUCCGCUGGCGGACACACACAUACACACACGUGUGAAUUUUUGGCAGAAGGUUUUGGUGGCACCGGGCACAGCUUUCUUUCCCCUACAACGCUGCGGUGUUUUAUAAUCAGUUACCCUGGGGGUGUUACAUGCAUUUCCGUUCCGCUCCCCCGCUUGUCAGUGUUAACCAUGACAGGAAGGAGGUGCCAGUGGGCUUUGAAUGUGACAGCGCAGAUCCCAACUUUGUGCAGAUUUAUCAGGGAGCUUUAACCUCAGGAACGCCUCCUCCUGGUCCAGGAUCUGGUCAGUGAAGUCACUGAACUGGCAAUAACGCCCCCAGCCGUCUAUCCACCACAAGGUCUGAAGUGUGAUGCUGUGGACCAGAGAGGAGGGAGGAGGUGGUACCAAGCAGCCAAUAGCAACAUCAAACAGCCAACUAGGAUGUCAGCUGGCCAAUGGGAUCCCCCAUCAUUGAUGUGCAAGACACAGAUGGUGGCGAGGAGUCUGGUGGCAAUGUACGGAGGCAGGCAGUCCUGGAAGGCCGGCUGCAAGACGUAAUUGGAGAAGAUGGUGACCUUUGACUUCCCCUGAGACUUUUCUCACUGUGCAGCCCUCUAGUGAUACUGAAUACUGAGUAAUGCUGAAUAAAUCAAUGGUUGGUAAAUUUAGUCACAGAUUUUGCUGCAUUUUUUAAAAUUUGAGUCUAUGAAGAAUACCUUUGAGCAGUUGCUCCAUCCAUAGAAACUAGCCUCACUGACUAGCGGGAACUAGAGGAUGGCUGGUUCAAGUCCACUAUGAUACAGGUACGUAAGAAUCUGUGGACAUGAUCUCAGACAUAACCAAACAAAAAAAAGAGCAUGAACAAGAUUGCCUGUUGAAAUGACAAUAUUGAUAGAUGUCACAAUCACUUCUGGGACAAUACACUACUGGUGAAAAGUUUUAGAACACCCCAAUUAUUCCAGAUUUUAUUGAAAAUUAUGCAGUUUAAUGUUUCAUUGUACUCUUAAAUGAAAGCAUAGAACAAAUAAAAAGUUAAGUUGAAAAAGAAAUCAUGGAAUCAAUUUAUAAACCAAAAUGUAUUCUAAACGUUUGACUCAUCAAAGUAGCCACCUUCAACAGAUAUGGAAAUUAAAUAUUCUUCAGAAAGUUCAACUCUGUUGCACAGGUUCCUGUGAAUGUAGGUUGCUUUGCUUUCACUCUUCUGUCCAGUUCAUCCUAAAACAGCUCGAGUCGAGUCUGUAGACUUGGCUAGCCACUCCAUGUUUUCAGGCUUACCAUCUUGUUCUUUUUUCCUGAGGUAGUUCUGGCAUAGCUUGGACUUGUGUUUUGGGUCAUUAUCUUGCUGUAGGAUGAACCCCUGACCAACUAGGCGCAUAUCAGAGGGUACUGCAUGGCAUUGUAGAAUGAUGUGGUGGCCAUCUUGGUUCAGGGUGCCUCUCACUCUGUACAAGUCACCGACUCUGGAUCCAGCAAAACAGCCUCAGACCAUCACGCUUGUUCCUCCAUAUUUGACCGUUGAUGUCACACACUGAGGAACCAUCCUUUCGCCUACUCAACGGCGUACAAAAAUCUUAAAUCUUUAAAAAAUAAACCGAAGAUUUCAAAUUUUCAUUCAUCAGUCCAUAACACCUUCUUCCAAUCGUCAGUAGUCCACUGGCAGUGUUUUAUGGCCCUGGCAAGCCUCUUUUUCUUAUUCUGUCAUCUUAGCAACCUCUUUCUUGCUGCAACUCGACCUGUCGAACCUGCAACUUGAAGUCUUCUCUUCACAGUUGAAACUGAGACUUGCUUACUACAAACUAUAUUAGGCUGUGCUUGAAGCUGUUGUCCUGUGAGCCGCCUAUCAUGCAAGCUGUUGACUCAGAAACUUGUGGCUUUGGUUCUGCCAGACCACAAAUUUCUGUUUCCUUUUUCUUGCCAUUUCUAUAGCAACACACUACUUUCUGCAGUGCAAUACUGUUCAUAUAAUGCUCACGAGGGCAUGGUACCACAGUGUGUUCCAGCACCUCUUUUAUGCAGAAGGGGUUCUAAGUAAUCAAGAAAAUUUGCGACACGUGUAGGAAUUGGUAGCACCAACUUUCAAGGCUUGAUCAACCUCCCUUGCUGCAGAACAACUUUAAGUUGUUAACCCAUUUCUUCCAUCUAUCCAUCCAUUUUUUUCCGCUUUAUCCAGGACUGGGUCGCGACGGCAGCAGCUUGAUCAGGGAUACCCAGACUUCCCUCUCCCCAGACAUUUCCUCCAGCUCUUACGGAUGGACCUCAAGGUGUUCCCAGGCCUGAGUGACACAGUUCCUCCAGUGUGUUCCGGGGUCUUCCUCAGGGGUCUCCUCCCGGUGACCAUAGCUCACCAUAGGUGAGGGUAGGAACGUAGAUUGACUGGUAAAUCGAGAUCCUUGCCUUUUGGCUCAGCUUCUUCUUCACCAUGAUGGGUGGGCAUUACUGCUGUAGCUGCACUGAUCUGUCUGUCAAUCUCAUGCUCCCAUCUUCCCUCACUUGUGAACAAGACACCAAAAUACUUGAACUCCUCCACUUGAGGCAGAAGCUCUCCUCCAACCUGGAGGGGGCAGAACACCUUUUUCUGAUUGAGAACCAUGGCCUUGGAUUUGGAGGUACUGAUUCUCAUCCAAGUCACUUCACACUUGGCUGCAAACCCCCCCAGUGCAGGCUGAAGGUCCUGGCUCGAGGAAGCCAACAGGACAACAUCACCCACAAAAAGCAGAGAUGAAAUCCUGUGGUUCCUGAACCGAACACCCUCCCAAUCACGCCUCUCCAGGUGUCACUGUUGUCGCCCACAUGGACACUGAAGUUCCCCAGUAGAACUAUGGAGUCCCCAGUCGGACCACCUUCCAGAGCCCAGGCUGUGCAUGGAAGUGAGCCCGACUAUCUCUAGCC